rnacentral:rRNA from 1 species
GGAAUAGGACGGCUUUCCUAUUUUGUUGGUUUCUAGGAGAGCCGUAAUGAUUAAUAGGGACAGUCGGGGGCAUCAGUAUUCAAUUGUCAGAGGGUGAAAUUCUUGGAUUUAUUGAAGACUAACUACUGCGAAAGCAUUUGCCAAGGAUGUUUUCAUUAAUCAGUGAACGAAAGUUAGGGGAUCGAAGACGAUCAGAUACCGUCGUAGUCUUAACCAUAAACUAUGCCGACUAGGGAUCGGUCGAUGUUACUAUUUUGACUCGAUCGGCACCUUACGAGAAAUCAAAGUUUUUGGGUUCUGGGGGGAGUAUGGUCGCAAGGCUGAAACUUAAAGAAAUUGACGGAAGGGCACCACCAGGAGUGGAGCCUGCGGCUUAAUUUGACUCAACACGGGGAAACUCACCAGGUUCGGAUAUGAUAAGGAUUGACAGAUUGAGAGCUCUUUCUUGAUUUCAUAGUUGGUGGUGCAUGGCCGUUCUUAGUUGGUGGAGUGAUUUGUCUGCUUAAUUGCGAUAACGAACGAGACCUUAACCUGCUAAAUAGCCAGGCUAGCUUUUGCUGGUCGCCGGCUUCUUAGAGGGACUAUCGGCUCAAGCCGAUGGAAGUUUGAGGCAAUAACAGGUCUGUGAUGCCCUUAGAUAUCCUGGGCUGCACGCGCGCUACACUGACGGAGCCAACGAGUUCACUCCCUUGACCGGAAGGUUUGGGUAAUCUUGUUAAACUCCGUCGUGC